GGGUCUUCAUGUUUGAUUCAAUAACACAUGGGGGACGGAAAGCAUGGAGGAAGCCCAAGGCAACAACUCAAACUGGGGCAGAUCGGGUUCGAGUUAGGGAAUACGGACCACGAAAUGAAAAAAAAAACAAUAGAAAAACCUAGGCUCUUGGUCUGGUCGCCCCUUAACCUUGUUUCUCUCAACCCAUGACUUUUUAAUUAAAACAUUGGAAUAUAGAAAUAAAUUAAAUGAUGAAAAAAAAAAAGCAAACUAAC
rnacentral:lncRNA from 1 species